rnacentral:tRNA from 1 species
GUUACUUUGGCAGAUUAGUGCAAUAAAUUUAGAAUUUAUAUAUGUAGUAGUAUUACAGGUAAUA